GUGGGAAUAGCUCAGUUGGUAGAGCAGUGGUCUCCAAAACCACGGGCCGGAGGUUCGAGCCCUCCUUCCUGCGCCA
rnacentral:tRNA from 1 species